rnacentral:rRNA from 1 species
ACGAAGGGGGCUAACGUUGCUCGGAAUCACUGGGCGUAAAGGGUGCGUAGGCGGGUUUUUAAGUCAGAGGUGAAAUCCUGGAGCUCAACUCCAGAACUGCCUUUGAUACUGAAGAUCUUGAGUCCGGGAGAGGAGGGUGGAAUUCCCAGUGUAGCGGUGAAAUGCGUAGAUAUUGGGAGGAACACCGGUGGCGAAGGCGGCUCUCUGGACCGGUACUGACGCUGAGGCGCGAAAGCUAGGGGAGCAAACGGGA